rnacentral:rRNA from 1 species
UACGUAGGCAGCGAGCGUUGUUCGGAGUUACUGGGCGUAAAGGGUGUGUAGGCGGUUUUCUAAGUUUGGUGUGAAAUCUCCCGGCUCAACCGGGAGGGUGCGCCGAAAACUGGGAGACUAGAGUGCGGGAUGGGAGAGUAGAAUUCCUGGUGUAGCGGUGAAAUGCGUAGAUAUCAGGAGGAAUACCGGUGGUGUAGACGGCUCUCUGGACCGUAACUGACGCUGAGGCACGAAAGCGUGGGGAGCAAACAGG